AUUGAAGCAACUUUGCUUUAGAUUUAGAAUCUAUUAUUUGGGACUCCCCUUUGUUA
rnacentral:tRNA from 1 species